AUGUUCUAUAAAUUAUUCUGCUGUUAUCUGUGGCAGAGGGCUAUCCAAAUGACUAAGGACCUGAAUCCAGCAAGAGAGAGAAGUACAAAGAACAUCCUUGCAACCUCCACAUCCGGUUUGGUCUAUGCCGUUCCAUGUCAUGAUAGUUCUGUCAGCAAUUCAGAUUCUUUUAAACUGUACGUCAAGGAACAAGGGUGGUCAAAAGGAGCAACAUGGAAGGCAAAAGAAGAAUCUUCCAGUCCCUGUACCGAGAUCUUGCUUUGGUCACUGAGGAAGAGAUUAGCUUAAGCCGAUUAUAUACUGCUCCUUUUGAAUCAACUCUAUUGAGAGAGACUUGACUUUUAAAAUACUCCUCAUAUGCAUUUUAUGUGCAUGAGUGCUUUGCUUAGAUGUGUGUUUGUGCACCAUGUGUGUCUAGUGCCAGCAGAAGCCAGAAGAGGGUAUCAGGUUCUCUGGAAACUGGAGUUACAGGUGGUUGUAAGCCACCACAUGGGUGCUGAGAAUUGAACUUCUCUCUCUUGUAUGGUCAGCAAAUGUUCUUAAUUGCUGAGCCAUGAGAUAUAACUUCCAAAAAAGUAAAAUAUACUUUGCUAAUUGCACACUCUGAAAAUGUUGACAAAUACAUUCCAAUGUAUACCUUCUCCUAUCACAAUUCAGGUAAGGAUUAUUUUUACUGCCCCAACAUAUGCAUUUGUGGCUCUACCCAGGUGGUUCCUUUCAUCUUUCUUGGCUCAGGAAUCCAGGGUACUCAGCCACAUUUUAUAUGUAAAGAGUUCAUCAAAAAUAGAAUUAUAAAAUGCGUUCUUCCCGUAUAUCUGGAUUAUUUUGGCCUGGAGCCAUCCCAAUGGAUACGGUUUUCAUUUAUGUUAACCUAUGACAGCUGAUACUGAACAGUUUAUGAUAUUGGCUCCUUUUCAUCUUUUCUGUGAUUUAUCUGUUCAGAUGUCUGUCCAAUUGUCAUCAUGUUAUUUCUUUCAAAUUAUAGAAUUGUAACAGUUCACUAUAUGUUUGAGUGUUGGUCCAGUUUUACAUCUAUGUGGCAUGAACAUUUUCACUCAUGUGUAGCACUUUUAUUAUCUUAAGCAUCUUGGUUGUGAUGGACUCCUUUUUAUAAUACUAAAGAUUUAUUUAUUUUAUUUAUACGAGUACACUGUAGCUGUCUUCAGACACACCAGAAGAGGGCAUUUGAUCCCAUUACAGAUGGAUGUGAGCCACCAUGUAGUUGUUGAGAAUUGAACUCAGAACCUGUGGAAGAUCAGUCAGUACUCUUAACCACUGAGCCAUCUCUCCAGUCCCAAUACUUCUAAAUAUUAUUGACAAGGAGUGCAUCACAUUUUCAAUUUUUCAUCUUUUUUCUACCAUUUUAUUUUUACUGUUUUAUUGUUUUACACAUUCUAUAAUCCCAAUAUUUUAUUUUAAUUAGUUCUGUCUAUUAUGUGAAGUGAAGAUCACAAAUCUUUGGUAAACAUUGCUGGUCCAUUUUCCUUACUUCCUCUUUCUCCUCCUCUCUCAUUUUCCUCUUCAUUGUCUUCCCCCCACCCCCACUCCUCCUUGUGCCCUUUGGUUUCAUCCUUACCACGUAAAUAAAACAACCAGUUGAGAUUCUAUGUGUGAGUUU
ensembl:lncRNA